rnacentral:lncRNA from 1 species
AGGUGUGGAGAGCUCUGGUGCAUGAGAACUUUAUUUUUCAUUUCAGGAACAUCCAAGAAGUCAUGGCCAUGAGCAAACUGGAAACCAUGUGUAACCCCACUGGACCUGGGAGCUGAAGAAUCAUGUGUUUGGCUAACGGAACCAGCUGACCAACCAGAUUCAGAAAAGAAAAAUUCAGACACUCGAAACAAGCAUAUUUGAGGCUCCAGUUACAGAAGAAUAUGAAGCCAUCAAGCAAGAACUUGAAACACAUUUUAAUGAAGACCCAGAGAAUAAAAUAUAAGUUCAAUGGAAACAUAAGUUAAAUUUUGAAAAAUGAGUUCAAUUUUGAAAAUAAGCUAAUAAUCCUUAAAGAGCAACUUCUUUCAGACAGCAAAAGAAAAGCCAAUGAACUUAUUCGUUUUUUAAAAAAUUUAAGAAAGACUGGAUAAGAAAAAGAGAGAUUAUAAAAACAAACUAUUGGAAAGGAGCCGAAAAUUGUUUUUAAUUGUAAAGGCUAAAAAGUUGAGUGAGGAAGACUUACAUGAGAAAUUCAAUCAAUGUCGGAAAAAAAGGGUCUGUGAUGUGUCCACAACUCUUCCUAAAGUCACAGAGCCUGACACUGAUUUGGAUUCUGAAAACAUCCUUUCAGAGUAUUUAAAACAUGAGAUGGAUGUCAUGGACAUACUAACAAGAAAUUCUGCAGAGAAGUUUCAAAUCAAUUAUGACAAAUAUGUCAAAAUGAAUAAGAAAUGUAACAAUUUUGAAACAAUGUGAUCAGUAGUCAUAUUCAUGAACUCUUUCUCAAUGACAUUAAUAGUCAGAAAAAAAUUACAGGUAAAUGACAUUAAUCGUCCUUGAGAAAGAGUUCAUGAAUAUGACUACUGAUCAUAUUGUUUCAAGAUUUAAUAAAACUAUUAACAAUAUUUGGAAAAAGCAAUGUGAUUACAAUCCAAAUACAUCCAGAAAAUUCUAAAGACAACAGAGGAAGAAGUGAAACCUGCAUCUACUCAGGAAAGAUACACAUUUAAAAAUAAAUAUAUUAUCAGCUUAUGCUUGUGUUUAUUCCAGUGAGCAACAGAGAAUUCUAAAGAAAUGCACAGGGCAUUCAAGAGAGCAAAUGAUCCUGUAAACUAUCUAGAAAGCAAGAAAAAUGAUUUCUUGAUGAGGUUUAAGAUUUCCUGCCAAGAAGCAACCUCCAGCAAAACACUUACUGAUUUUCUGGGGCACAAGCUCGUUCCUGCUGUCUCUACCAUCAUAUGGGGGAAAAAUAACCAUUAAAAUUGUGGGGACAUGUGAGCUACCUGCCCUGCAUUCAGUGAAAACAGGACUAACCUGGAGAAACACAUUCUCGUCUCUCUGGGAGAAGAAGAAAACUUUGAUCAUUACUGGCAAUACUUUCAUAAUAAGAAUAGCUUUUUAAGGAAUUACAUCAAAAUCAAUAUUAAGAGAUACUGUUUAGACAAUGCAGGUAAAAAAAUGAAGAUUUUUUUGAGAAAAGUUUAGUUGACAUUAAUAAUGGCAUCCUCCCUGCCCUUCAUGAAUCCACAUCAGUAGCUAAAGAUAAAAGCAGCACUGCUUCUGGUGGUUGGAUUUAUUCUGUGAUCGCCUGGAGAGCAACUUGAUCUUUCCACAGAGAGACUUGACAAGGAUUAAACACCAGGAGAUAAAAGAUACUGAGUUUCUCAGAGAAGACAUGAGUGCGGCUUUGGAUCUCACAAUGAGGAGAAUAGAACAGCAUUAUUCAAGUAUGCCUAUGGAAGUAAUGGUUUCUAAAACUGAGAAAAUGCUCUCUGAACAUCUCUGUGGCUGCUGGAAACAGUGUCCCUGCUGUGAAGCAAUUUGUACAAACACAAUUCCUACACACGAAGGAGACCAUGGUGUUCCCUUCCCCUGUCCUCAGGCUGUCUAUGGAGAGGAAUAGUAUAAAACAGGCCAUUCUGUCAUGGCUUGCUCUACUAGUUUUGUAGCAAGUGAUUGUUUAUUGGUUUUGAGCAAUGAUGGAAAAAUCCCAUAUAAGUAUCAAAAGGCAGGAGUGGAUUAUGCCACGGGGAGCAUCCCUCCAGAUUCCUCCACCCAGCCAUCUUGGAAAUGGUUUCUUUCUCACUUCAGAUCAAAGCUAGAAUAUAAAUAUCAGGAAAAAAAAUUACAGGUAAUGGUAAAAUCCCUAACUCAUGGGCCAAAAUCCAAAAGAAGGACAUCCUUGAAGAUUUGA